GUCAACGGCCAUACCACCCUAAACGUAACCAAUCUCUUCUGAUCUCAGAAGCUAAGCAGGGUCGGGCAUGGUUAGUCCUUGGAUAGGAAAUAAAUACGUUGCUAUUUACA
rnacentral:rRNA from 1 species